rnacentral:lncRNA from 1 species
AAUAGAACAGGGACAUAAAUACAGGGACAUAAAUAGAUAGGGAUUCGCAACGCACUAUACAGCAGCCGAAAUUAUCGAUUUUUCAUUGCCGUAGGUAAACCGCAAAUUAUCGGCAAUUAUUGAUCCGUUAGAUUAGAUAAACUCCUUGCUUUUACUUAUCAUGGAAGCUCUUUCCUGUAAUUAUUGACGCAUUUGCUCUUCCAAAUGAAAUGAAAUUAUAUAAAAAGAAUUGAUAAUAUUAUGGUUAUGGUUAUACCUCGUAGUUUGAAUAUGCUUGUGGUCAGCUGACUUUCAAAAAAAAAAAAAAAAUAGCGGUUUGAUAUGUUUAUCAAUCUUUUGUCACAAGAUUUGUUAAAUAGUUUUCUAAUCAUGUUGACAAUUAAGUACUGUUUUACAUGUUUUUUGUUUGUUUGUUUGUUUUUAUUCUUUUAUUUUUUCGUAUAACCGUUGAACACGUGAAAAACAUUGCCCUCGACGUUACAAUGAGAAAUAAAGUUUUGUGAAUAAGUAAUUGUUUUAUUUUCUUUCCCUCCUAAUUAUCUAUAAUCACCUUUGCUCAAAAGAAUUUUCAUUUGUUAGGGUUUGUUACAAUAUUAAAUCUUUUGUCCUCAGUUUAAAUUUAACUGUAAUUAUCUGAACUGAUCGGCACGAGUAGAAGAAAUUGUUUGUAGCAUCACACCUUACAUCUCGUGCGUGCUUAUUGCACAUUCUUUGAACGUGUGGAAAACAUAAUUACCCUUGCCUUUUAUAUUGAAUAUAUAAAUGAAAAUUAAAGGGUAUUUCAAAAAAAUAAACAUUAGUUUGUCUAUCAUUUUGUGUUCGUUCAAUUCAAUUCCGCGAGGUUAUAUUGUAGUUAUAGUGAAUGAAGUUUAAUGAUUAAAAAUGGCGGUGUGUGUGUGUUGAGUUUGUUUACCCUCGCCACCGGUUAAGACCAUAUGGGCGAGCAUAGCUUCAAUUAUAUAACAACACUUUAUAGGCUACGUGUAGAUGUGACAGAGACAGCAAAGUCCUAAAUUUAUUGAAAAACUUCUGUUUGUUUGAAUGUUAAAAAUGGCUUAUGGCAAAGAGGAUUUUAUAGACUUCAGUGAUCUAGAUUAAGAUGAUUUGCUUGGUGAAUACACUUGUAGUGAAGUUGAAAAUUCUGAUGAUAAUGAUAAUGUAACGGAACCGAAUCCGAACUCUACAGUUAAACCAAAGAAUGUCGCAAAUAAGAUUUAUCAGUGCGACAACUGUGACAAAAAGUAUGCAUCCAUAUCGGGGCUAAGAGGUCACCUGCGGACGAAGCACGGGAUUUCAAAUGUCAGAGGUUCGUAUCUUCAAGUAAUAAUUUAGAUGUGUAUGCGUGUAAAAUAAAUAUUAUGUUUAUAGAUAAUUUGUAAGUAUUCUUUCUUUAUUUUGUUGAGGAGCAAGAGCAAUAAACCUGGUACGGCUGUGUGUCUAAUCUAUUUGCUUUUGACAUUAAAUGAACUGUGCUCGAGUUAAGGUAAAGGAGGUGUAAUGAGCGGGAACUUCUAAAAUAAGUGGCAUCUUUCAUAACAUGUUUAAAUACAAGGCCGUCGCGGGCGGUCCGGCCGGUCCGGCCAUGGCCGGACCACUUUUUUGGCCGAGCAUGACCAGUUGUUUUUUCGCAUAAAAUUUCAGCUUUUGCUUAGAUUGAAAGUGCCGAAAUAUUGCCUUGCUAAUUAUCCGCAACGAGCGGUAUCUGUCAUAAUUGCCCGCGGGGUGUGAAAACUUCAGCACACUUCGUGUCAAAAGUAUCGACCCUGCUUGAUUGGAUUAAUCAUAAUUAAACGCUUAUCUGAUAUAUCUUUAAUCCGGUAUGAUCUAAAGGGCAUUUUUUUAUAAUCUAUAAUAAUUGUUUUGACGAAAAAAAAAAUAGUCGUAUGUUUAAAAAAAUUAGAAAAGAUGUGUUUUUCCUGGUAUAAUAAAACAAAA